rnacentral:rRNA from 1 species
UAAUACGAACCGUCCAAACGUUAUUCGGAAUCACUGGGCUUAAAGGGUACGUAGGCGGCGCUGUCAGUCGGGUGUGAAAUCCCUCGGCUCAACCGAGGAAUAGCGCCCGAUACUGCAGUGCUUGAGGGAGACAGAGGUAAGCGGAACUGAUGGUGGAGCGGUGAAAUGCGUUGAUAUCAUCAGGAACACCGGUGGCGAAAGCGGCUUACUGGGUCUCUUCUGACGCUGAGGUACGAAAGCUAGGGUAGCGAAGGGGAUUAGAUACCCCCGUAGUCCUAGCCGUAAACGUUGAGCACUUGAUCGAGGAUCCCCCCAUAGGUUCUCGGUCGUAGCGAAAGUGUUAAGUGCUCCGCCUGGGGAGUAUGGUCGCAAGGCUG